rnacentral:lncRNA from 1 species
CCGCUUUAUUGGAAUUCAUAUAAUCGAACUCCUUUGAUGUUAGAAUCGUUCGGCUUCAUGAAUUCAAAAGCCAAUUACAGGUCAGCUAAUAUUAUUUCGAUAAUAUUAUUUCGAUAAAAGUUUGUAAGUAUAGUACUAACAACACUCACGUUCAAUGAUACAGUGUGGACUACAAUCUACAAAUGUGUUAUACAUCACUUGUAGGAAAGCAUUUAUUCGCAAUCUCAAUGGGGGGUUUUCUUCGGGACAGUUUUACACUGAUUAUGUGAAUGUCGUGAGUUUCUGAUAUGGCACUGGCUUACUGUUUAAUAAAAUUCUUGAAAGAGCUCUAAUUAGUUCUUUAGACCAUUGUCUUGUGUUCAUCUCUCCCUUCAGCUUUUAAUGUACUAAUCUUCCAUUAGUUAAUUUUGUUUGUGCAACCUUAGCCUGAUUGCUAGGGGCUGAAAGAUGGGAGAAGCAAAGGCUGAUCGGUGCUUGAGAUUUGCAAGUUUUUGACAUUUGCUUGCUUUAACAAAUUAAGAAGAAACUGGAAAAGUUUUAUUUUUUUGUAUUUAACUAUUUGCCUGCUAUUAGAUGUUCAAAGAUCGGAUUUUUGUAUUGCAAAAAAGCAUAUAAUGCUAGGUCUAGCUUCAAAGGAUUGUAGGAGGAUAUUGUCUUCUAUUGCAGCUCUGAGUGGAGAUGCUUCUAGUCUUUUUAGAAUUUUGAAACAGUCUUAAACUACUGGCUCACUCUGCAAAGAAUUUUUGACAGUGCAGAGGCAUACUAUUUUCAUGUUGAAUUAUUGAAGUGGGGUUCGCUUGGUUUGUGUAGGACAUCAAGCUUUGCAACUGGGUUCACACCAUUGCAUCUAAGGCCAUUGGAGUCGAUUAUUGGUAUAGAGAGGGCACAGAAUAAAUCAACUGAAGAACUUAAGGACAUUUGGGAUGAUGUAAUUCUGUAUACCCUAUUGAAGUUUUUUCCCCACUAGAAUACUCACACUUUGACAGUUUUUUCUGUGUUCUCUAUU